rnacentral:rRNA from 1 species
UACAGAGGUCUCAAGCGUUGUUCGGAAUCACUGGGCGUAAAGGGUGCGUAGGCUGCACGGUAAGUCAGAGGUGAAAUCCCGGAGCUCAACUUCGGAAUUGCCUCCGAUACUGCCGUGCUUGAGGACUGGAGAGGAGAUUGGAAUUCACAGUGGAGCAGUGAAAUGCGUAGAUAUUGUGAGGAACACUAGUGGCGAAGGCGGCUCACUGGCCCGGUACUGACGCUGAGGUGCGAAAGCGUGGGGAGCAAACAGG